GAUGGGCAAGAGUCCCAAAGACGUUCACCAGAAGAGAGCAGAGGCCUGUGAUGGAUAAAUACAGAAAGGGUGGAGGGGAAGGAUGGCCGUGCAGGUCGUCUGUUUAAGCGCAGCCCCGUCUGAGUUGCAGCAGCGUUACCGUCCACCACCUAGAAGAGCCUGGACCGGGCUGUGCAGCCUGGAAGCCAUCAGCCCACCGGGGACCAUCAAAAAGAACAAUGAGCUGAGAUGGGGGCUGGCUCGUCACGUCCUCAACGCUCAGCAGCAGCACAUGCCUAGUGACUAACCACACUGCUGGUCAGCAGAGAUGGAAGCUUCUGUCACUGAGGCGUGUCCUACUGGGCGCUGUGCUGGAGGCCGUGCUCUGUCCUACCGCUACAAAUGAAGUCACUGUGGCCCGAACGCCCCUGUUCUGUCCCAGCUCCACAGGUGUGGACCCCCGACUCCUGUCCACUCAGAGUGUAACACCCUUCCAAACAACCAGAGGCCUAAAAGAGAAACCACCUGUUCCUUGAAUCUGAGGAUUAGCUGGAGCAGCUGCGACGGGCACCAGCCCUCUCUGCUUAACGCUGUGAGGUCUCUGUCUCCCUGCAGUCAGCUCGGCAGCUCCACUUCUGGAGGAGUCUUUGCAAGAGCGCAGAGGUGAACCUCUGUGAGUUUGAAGAAAACCUGUUCUGCAUAAGGAAUUCUAAGACAUCCAGGGCUACGCAGCGAGACCCUGUCUCAAAGCAAACAGGAGCAGCAAGCAAACAAGCAAGCAAACAAACCAACCAGCAGUGUGACGGUACACUCAGUCAAGCAGAGAGCAGUGAACAUGUUUGUAGCCCUAGUCCUCUGGAGGUGGAGGCAGGAGGAUCAGCAGGUCUAGGCCGUCCUCGUAGAGA